UACAGAGGUCCCAAGCGUUGUUCGGAUUCAUUGGGCGUAAAGGGUGCGUAGGCGGCGCGGUAAGUCGGGUGUGAAAUCUCGGAGCUUAACUCCGAAACUGCAUUCGAUACUGCCGUGCUUGAGGACUGGAGAGGAGACUGGAAUUCCUGGUGUAGCGGUGAAAUGCGCAGAUAUCAGGAGGAACACCGGUGGCGAAGGCGGGUCUCUGGGCCGAUACUGACGCUGAGGAGCGAAAGCGUGGGGAGCAAACAGG
rnacentral:rRNA from 1 species